AAUAGAUACCCGGGUAGUCCACGCCGUAAACGAUGGGUACUAGGUGUAGGGGGUAUCGACUCCCCCUGUGCCGCCGUUAACACAAUAAGUACCCCGCCUGGGGAGUACGGUCGCAAGAUUAAAACUCAAAGGAAUUGACGGGGGCCCGCACAAGCAGCGGAGCAUGUGGUUUAAUUCGAAGCAACGCGAAGAACCUUACCUAGACUUGACAUCUCCUGAAUUACUCUUAAUCGAGGAAGUUCUCCCUUCGGGGAGGACAGGAAGACAGGUGGUGCAUGGUUGUCGUCAGCUCGUGUCGUGAGAUGUUGGGUUAAGUCCCGCAACGAGCGCAACCCUUAUUGUUAGUUGCUACCAUUUAGUUGAGCACUCUAGCAAGACUGCCGUGGUUAACGCGGAGGAAGGUGGGGAUGACGUCAAAUCAUCAUGCCCCUUAUGUCUAGGGCUACACACGUGCUACAAUGGCGAGUACAAAGAGACGCAAAGCCGCGAGGUGGAGCAAAACUUNUAAAACUCGUCUCAGUUCGGAUUGCAGGCUGAAACUCGCCUGC
rnacentral:rRNA from 1 species